GUUCCAUAGUCCUUCAGCUGAGGAGCUGUCUUUCUGGUGGAGUUAUUGAGGAAAAUUCCAAUGUCAUGAUGAUUCUCCUCCUGGAAUCCAAGUCACAAAGAAGCUGCUCUUCCCUUAUUUCAAUCCUCCUGGAGGUCAUUUAGAGUUUUGCUCAGAACCUCCUCCUUGGGGCACUGCAUUCCUUAAGGUGAUAAUGCUGGUGAAGUUGGUCUCCCUUUUCUUUUGUUCCCAAGUCUGAAGCAUGGAUCAAGGACAACUGCUGUUCAUCUUCUAAAAAUCGAGCUCAGUUGACAGCAAACCAAUAUACUUGCCUGAAGGAAAGAAGACAGUCCAGCAAAGCAUAGAUGUCUCUGAGGCGCCUUCUUAUUUCAUCAGCUAAAGCAGUAGAGCCACCUGGCCAAAGAAGAAGCGGGUGCUGCGGGCACUGCCACGUGGACUCACAGAGGAACUUGCUGAGCUUCUUGUCCUCCUUCUCCAAGUAAGUGUGCACUCCCACUUUUAUUCUGUGCCUGUCUGCUUUUCUUCACUCUCCCAAACUUUCAGAUAAUCACUUUUU
rnacentral:lncRNA from 1 species